AGGAUGAACGCUGGCGGCGUGCUUAACACAUGCAAGUCACGGGGGCCCAGCAAUGGGCAACCGGCGAACGGGUGCGUAACACGUGAGCAAUCUACCGAAAUGAGGGGGAUAGCCGGCCCAACGGCCGGGUAAUACCGCAUACGCUCGAGACAGGCAUUUGGACUCGAGGAAACCUCCGGGGCAUUUCGAGGAGCUCGCGGCCUAUCAGCUAGUUGGUGAGGUAACGGCUCACCAAGGCGACGACGGGUAGCUGGUCUGAGAGGAUGGCCAGCCACAUUGGGACUGAGAUACGGCCCAGACUCCUACGGGAGCAGCAGGUGGGAAUCGUGCGCAAGUGGACCUAACGGCUAGACCGCAGCCGGACGCCGCGUGAGGAUGACGCUCGUUCGGAGUCGUAACCUUCUUUGCUGA
rnacentral:rRNA from 1 species